GUCUCAGUUCAGAUUGCAGGCUGCAACUCGCCUGCAUGAAGUCGGAAUUGCUAGUAAUCGCAGAUCAGCAUGCUGCGGUGAAUACGUUCCCGGGCCUUGUACACACCGCCCGUCACACCAUGGGAGUCGGUAACACCCGAAGUCGGUAGCCUAACCGUAAGGAGGGCGCCGCCGAAGGUGGGAUUGAUGACUGGGGUGAAGUCGUAACAAGGUAUC
rnacentral:rRNA from 1 species